AUGAGCCCCUGCCUCCUGGGCUGUGUGGUCUUCUGUCUCCUGCAGGCAGGGGCGGUCCACGCGGGUGUCACCCAGGACCCCAGAUUCCAGGUUAUGAGGACAGGACAGAGCGCGACACUGAAAUGUACUCAGGAUCUAAACCAUGAUUAUAUGUACUGGUACCGACAAGACCCGGGACACGGGCUGAGGCUGAUCCAUUACUCAGAUGGCCCACCCGGCACGGAGAAAGGAGACGUGCCUGACGGAUACAGUGUCUCCAGACCAAGAACAGAGAACUUCCCUCUCACACUGAAGUCUGCCAACCGCUCCCAGACAGCUGUGUACUUCUGCGCCAGCAGUUACUACACGGCGCUGCACGGCCACCUCCUCUCUGUGCAAAAAGGCAGAUGA